UUGGAGGGCAAGUCUGGUGCCAGCAGCCGCGGUAAUUCCAGCUCCAAUAGCGUAUAUUAAAGUUGUUGCAGUUAAAAAGCUCGUAGUUGAAUUUCGAGACCGGUUUACUGGUCGUGCUUUUGUACGUACUGGUAUUAUUGGUUUCUUCUUUCUGACGAACUAUAAUGCCAUUAAUUUGGUGUUUUAGGGAAUCAGGACUGUUACUUUGAAAAAAUUAGAGUGUUUAAAGCAGGCUCACGCUUGAAUACAUUAGCAUGGAAUAACGGAAUAGGACGUUUGAUUCUAUUUUGUUGGUUUCUAGGAUCGACGUAAUGAUUAAUAGGGAUAGUUGGGGGCAUUAGUAUUCAAUUGUCAGAGGUGAAAUUCUUGGAUUUAUUGAAGACUAACUACUGCGAAAGCAUUUGCCAAGGAUGUUUUCAUUAAUCAAGAACGAAAGUUAGGGGAUCGAAGACGAUCAGAUACCGUCGUAGUCUUAACCAUAAACUAUGCCGACUAGGGAUCGGAUGAUGUUAAUUUUUUAAUGACUCAUUCGGCGCCUUACGGGAAAC
rnacentral:rRNA from 1 species